rnacentral:rRNA from 1 species
GACGAACGCUGGCGGCGUGCUUAACACAUGCAAGUCGAACGGAAAGGCCCUGCUUUUGUGGGGUGCUCGAGUGGCGAAAGGGUGAGUAACACGUGAGUAACCUGCCCUUGACUUUGGGAUAACUUCAGGAAACUGGGGCUAAUACCGGAUAGGAGCUCCUGCUGCAUGGUGGGGGUUGGAAAGUUUCGGCGGUUGGGGAUGGACUCGCGGCUUAUCAGCUUGUUGGUGGGGUAGUGGCUUACCAAGGCUUUGACGGGUAGCCGGCCUGAGAGGGUGACCGGCCACAUUGGGCCUGGGGUACGGCCCAGACUCCUCCGGGAGGCAGCAGUGGGGAAUAUUGCACAAUGGGCGGAAGCCUGAUGCAGCAACGCCGCGUGCGGGAUGACGGCCUUCGGGUUGUAAACCGCUUUCGCCGGUGACGAAGCGUGAGUGACGGUAAUGGGUAAAGAAGCACCGGCUAACUACGUG